ensembl:rRNA 5S_rRNA 5S ribosomal RNA
GCUGGCUGCUAGCUCUUUGUAACUCUCACAUGGUCGCACACUGAAGCUAAGCAGGGUUGCACUGGGUCAAUACCUGGAUGGGAGACCACAUGGGAAAGCUAGGUUGCUGCUGGAA